rnacentral:rRNA from 1 species
ACCCUUCCAUCAUAAUCUUAACCAUAAACCAUGCAGACUAGGGAUUUGCGGUUGUUCUUGUAAAACCGUAAGCCCCUUAUGAGAAAUCAAACUGAUUGGGUUCCU